rnacentral:rRNA from 1 species
GGGAACUGCGUUNUAAACUGGGUAGCUAGAGUAUGUCAGAGGGGGGUAGAAUUNCACGUGUAGCAGUGAAAUGCGUAGAGAUGUGGAGGAAUACCGAUGGCGAAGGCAGCCCCCUGGGAUAAUACUGACGUUCAUGCUCGAAAGCGUGGGUAGCAAACAGGAUUAGAUACCCUGGUAGUCCACGCCCUAAACGAUGUCGAUUAGCUGUUGGGCAACUUGAUUGCUUAGUAGCGUAGCUAACGCGUGAAAUCGACCGCCUGGGGAGUACGGUCGCAAGAUUAAAACUCAAAGGAAUUGACGGGGACCCGCACAAGCGGUGGAUGAUGUGGAUUAAUUCGAUGCAUCGCGAAGAACCUUACCUGGUCUUGACAUGUACGGAAGAACUCAGAGACGAGUUUGUGCCUUCGGGAGCCGUAACACAGGUGCUGCAUGGCUGUCGUCAGCUCGUGUCGUGAGAUGUUGGGUUAAGUCCCGCAACGAGCGCAACCCUUGUCAUUAGUUGCCAUCACUUAGUUGGGCACUCUAAUGAGACUGCCGGUGACAAACCGGAGGAAGGUGGGGAUGACGUCAAGUCCUCAUGGCCCUUAUGACCAGGGCUUCACACGUCAUACAAUGGUCGGUACAGAGGGUAGCCAAGCCGCGAGGUGGAGCCAAUCCCAGAAAACCGAUCGUAGUCCGGAUUGCACUCUGCAACUCGAGUGCAUGAAGUCGGAAUCGCUAGUAAUCGCAGGUCAGCAUACUGCGGUGAAUACGUUCCCGGGUCUUGUACACACCGCCCGUCACACCAUGGGAGUGGGGGAUACCAGAAGUAGGUAGGGUAACCGCAAGGAGCCCG